rnacentral:rRNA from 1 species
UGCAAGUCGAACGAGGUGCUUUUGUAGCAAUACGAGAGUAUCCUAGUGGCGAACGGGUGAGUAACGCGUUGGUGACCUACCCCAAAGUGUGGAAUAACAGUCCGAAAGGACUGCUAAUACCGCAUGUGGUUAUCGGGCUUAGAAACUGAUAACUAAAGGAGCAAUUCACUUUGGGAGGGACCUGCGUCCCAUCAGCUAGUUGGUGAGGUAAUGGCUCACCAAGGCUACGACGGGUAGGGGACCUGAGAGGGUGACCCCCCACAAUGGAACUGAAACACGGUCCAUACACCUACGGGUGGCAGCAGUAGGGAAUAUUGCACAAUGGGCGAAAGCCUGAUGCAGCAACGCCGCGUGUGCGAUGAAGGCCUUCGGGUCGUAAAGCACUUUUCUGAGAGAUGAGAAAGGACAGUAUCUCAGGAAUAAGUCUCGGCUAACUACGUGCCAGCAGCCGCGGUAAAACGUAGGAGGCGAGCGUUAUCCGGAUUCACUGGGCGUAAAGCGCGUGCAGGUGGUUCGGUAAGUUAGGCGUGAAAUCUCCCGGCUCAACUGGGAGAGGUCGUCUAAUACUACCGAACUUGAGAGCAGAAGAGGAAGAUGGAAUUCCCGGUGUAGUGGUGAAAUGCGUAGAUAUCGGGAGGAACACCAGUGGCGAAGGCGAUCUUCUGGUCUGUUUCUGACACUCAGACGCGACAGCUAGGGUAGUAAACGGGAUUAGAGACCCCGGUAAUCCUAGCCGUAAACGAUGUGAACUUGGCGUUGGUGGGUUAAACUCCAUCAGUGCCGAAGCAAACGCGAUAAGUUCACCGCCUGGGGACUACGGCCGCAAGGUUAAAACUCAAAGGAAUUGACGGGGGCCCGCACAAGCAGCGGAGCGUGUGGUUUAAUUCGAUGCUACACGAAGAACCUUACCCAGGCUUGACAUAC